rnacentral:lncRNA from 1 species
CCCAUCACUGACAAAGCAAACAGUCAUGAGGACCCCAACAAGUAUGUAAGCUGUGAAAACGGACUUCCUCCUAUAGAAGAAAAAUGCAUCUGAUAUCAUCUGAUAUACAGGAUGCAUAAAAAGGACAGCAUCCAUGGUGAGAUUGUGGGGAAUAUAUAAAGUUACUUACUCGAUAUAGGAACAGAUUCGUAGAAGACAGGGCAAAAUAACUGAUUAUGAAGAUGAUGUAUAAAAGGCAAGCACUUAUUACUGCAACACACUAAGAGUAUGUGUGCAUAAUUUGUUUGUUUGUUUCAGUUGGUUGUUUCAUGUUUAAACAUGCAUAAAAUCCCUGAGACUUUCUCUGACAUAGAGCUUCC